rnacentral:rRNA from 1 species
GACGAACGCUGGCGGCGUGCCUAAUACAUGCAAGUAGAACGCUGAAGGAGGAGCUUGCUUCUCUGGAUGAGUUGCGAACGGGUGAGUAACGCGUAUGUAACCUGCCUGGUAGCGGGGGAUAACUAUUGGAAACGAUAGCUAAUACCGCAUAAGAGUAGAUGUCGCAUGACAUUUGCUUAAAAGGUGCGAUUGCAUCACUACCAGAUGGACCUGCGUCGUAUUAGCUAGUUGGUGAGGUAACGGCUCACCAAGGCCACGAUACAUAGCCGACCUGGGAGGGGGAUCGGCCCCACUGGGACUGAGACCCGGCCCAGACUCCUACGGGAGGCAGCAGUAGGGAAUCUUCCGCAAUAGACGGAAGUCUGACCGAGCAACGCCGCGUGAGUGAAGAAGGUUUUCGGAUCGUAAAGCUCUGUUGUAAGAGAAGAACGAGUGUGAGAGUGGAAAGUUCACACUGUGACGGUAUCUUACCAGAAAGGGACGGCUAACUACGUG